rnacentral:lncRNA from 1 species
UUUUGCCCACUCGGACCUAGUGGAAAAAUUGGCGAAGUCAGCGGCCGAACCCACUGGAAACUAUGGACGAUAGUUCUCACCCCACUUUGUUACAGGGCCUAGUACGAGCACGCUGGGUGAGGACCGCGUCAAGGACAUAUCGCCCGAGUAGUAGUACAUAGUAGCUUCCUAUUUUGCAUUAGCACACCUAUGUACAUGAGAGACUUUUGUAGGUGAGGAUUUGGAGAGCUAUUGAUGUAUAUAUUUGAUGGUCCUUAGAGAACCACAUAUCCAUUUUGAGAAGAUGAAAGUGUAAUUGAAUGCAAAUGAUGUAAUAGUUAGUAAAACUCUCUUUAUUUCACUUGUGUAUGCUUGUGAAUUUUUGCUCUUAGUAUGUUGGCACUGUUUGUGCCCUUGUGGUCGUGUAUGUAUGAAUUUCUAUUUUCUGGGCAAAUUCUUAUACAUGAUCGGGUUGUUGGCCUAGGACGGACAGGGGAGGUGCUGUCCGUUCGGCGUCUGUUCGACGCACUCGAGUCGUGCCAAAUUGAUAGCGGUCUCGGGGCGUGACAGAUAUAAAUGGUAUCAGAGCAAGCUAAGAGUAAGUAAAGAGAGAGUCUAGGAUUGACCUAGGAGACCUUAGGAAGGUAAACCCUAAGGAUAUAGGUGCGUGAGUGGAACGUGAACCUAUAAUGGUGGCGGAAGUGAUUCGAUUGGGUCGAAGUUGGCGAUAUGUCUCUAGUAGUUGCUAGAGAUGAAUUCAAGUGGUAUUAGUUCUUGACUUGAGGUGAUUGUGUCGGCGGCCGACGACAUGAUGCCGAGAGCCUAGAAUGAGUACACUCGUAUGCUUUCGCCCGAUUUCGUUGUUGAUCGUUUGAGUCGUAGUCGCCGUAAUGUUGACGGGUUAAGAUAAUUAACCAAGUGCUUGCGUUUCAGGAGCUAAUGGCCCCGAAGAGACGCUACACGCGUAGAUCGGCUCCGGCACCGCCUCCCGAGAUGCCUGGGCAAGUUGAACCUCCACGAGCCCCAGAGUCUCCUGUGGUGCUUGCACAAGCCGGGCCGAGUGAGAUGCAGGAGUUGCGGGCGCAAGUGACCGCACUUGCGGGUCAAUUUGGGCUGCUCCGAGAGUUGAUAGAGCGGUAGUUAGCAGCGACGACUGCGAUGGCGACAGACGGUCGUGUUCCACCCGCACCCUCGGCGCAUGAGCACGUAGCGGCUGAGGGUGAGGGUAUAGUGGCGAUUCCGGUGGCGGCGCAUCCCUCGUCGAUGGUCGUUCCUCCUGCGGCGUCAGGAUAAGCGACACCCGAUGCGGCGGCCGAGGAAGCGGAGAAGGAGCGCGCAUUGGCGGCUCUAAUCAAGUUUAACAAGUUUCAUCCGCCCAUCUUCGAGGUGGAGAAAGUGGAGCCGGCGAUGGUCGAGUCGUUGGUCGACUCGAUGAAGAUGCUCUUCGAGGACCUCUCCACCUUUGAGAGGGACAAGGUGUACCUCGCCACACAUUGUUUGGAGAAGACGGCGAAGGUGUGGUGGAAGAGAGUGAAGCGAGAUAGGCCUUCGGAACUUCCACCGAUUGUAAGGGAAGUGAAUUCUUGAAAUCCGAGGAUUUGACUUCGUUUAGAAUCGACUGAUUGUCGAGUACGUAGGCUUCGGAAAGUCCGAAGAUGAUUAAAAUGCAUAAAGUACAUUAAGGAAGAGUCCGCGAGAGCAGCAGUGCAAAUUCUGCACUGGAACAGAAUUGCUCUCGGGGACCGGUCCCUGGCAGGGAGGGACCGGUCCCUGGCAGGGAGGGACCGGUCCCCUCGGCUGGGCUGGCGGGGAUCCUUAAGGCAACCGGUCUCUGGUAGGGAGGGACCGGUCCCUCCUUGCCAGAGACCGGUCCCCGAACGUUAACCCAGCGAGAAGAGGCUGAAAUUUGGCUAAGUCCCGAAAAUACCACUCUCGAAAACCGGUCUCUCAGGCAAGGACCGGUCUCCCGGGGACCGGUCUCUCAAGCAGGGACCGGUUCCCGAACGCGAAAUUUUCUCUGCCCGAGAGGGAGGCUCUUGGGGACCGGUCUCCCCGACCUGGGACCGGUCCCUCACUGCGAAGAUGCUUAGUGAGGGCUGCUUCAGAGGAUGAAAAGUUGAGGGGGCUAUCUGCAAAAUAGCCUUUAUGAGGGCUGGGGACCCCUCUCUCUCUCCCAUUUGUCUCAUUUGCCCUCUCUUUCUCUCCCUCUCUCUCUCUAGAAUGAAAGGAAAAGAAGAAGAGAAGAAGGAGAAGAAGAGAAAGAAGAAGAGGAGAAAGAAGAAGGAGAAGACCAAGAAGAGGAAGAAGAUCAUCUUCUUCCUUCUCUCCCUCAAGCUAGGGCAAGCUUGGAUCUUGGUAUUGAGGUAAGCCUCAACCCUUCAAUGGUGGAUUUUGGGAGCUAGGGUUUUGUUGCUUAAAAAUGGUUCGAAUGGAACCUAUUGAAGCUAAGGAGAUGGUUCGAGCUCGAAUUUGAGGCUUGCACCAUGGAUUUCCCCAUUGUUGCUAACCCAGGGCACGGAUUUGGGAUUUUUGGAAAUCUAGGGUUUUGAUCUCGUUUAACGGGUCGCAAACCUAAUUACUAGGUCUAUAAACGCGUCGGCGAAGACGGUUCGUCGAUCCGACGAGCGAGUGCGAAGAUAUCGCCGAAACAAGUGCUUGAGGGUUCGUUUUGUCCGAGGAGUCGAGGCAACGACAUAAGAUCGCGACGACGAGCUUGCUAGUUACGCGGCGCUACUAAAGGUGGGGGAGUGCCAUCCCGAAGUAGUUGAAUUGCUCCCUAUGUCUGAGUUAUUAUGUUGAUCAAUUGCAUAUUGAACAUAUGGCAUAUAAGGAACUAAGUUAUUAAUAUCUAUUUUUGCAUGCUAGUGUUAAUGUGGCUCAGUUGAUAUAGCACUAGAACCUAGUGUGCUCGAGGUAGUAUGAUACAGUUUAACCCUAUAGGUGUUGGAUGUACAUGUAGCAAUGAAAACCUAGUACAAUGUAGACUAGGGUAUUGAGAACUUGUCAAGAGAACGAGUGGCACCUAGUUAACAAUGAACACAAACGAGUGGCAUGUAGUUAACAUUGAACAUGAGAACCCUAGUGUAGUCAAAAUACUAUGAGCUUGGGUAUUAGGAUACUUGAUUCUGUGAUGAGACCAACCUUAGUUGGUAGGACUAGUUCGUGAGUUCAGAUUAAGCUCACAUAGCCUGUCUGCGCUUGUAGGGGUCGCUCCCCACAGGUUGUGCACUCCGGAGUAUUUGUCACUCGAGGGGCAGUCGCCAUGCGCUGCCCGGACAGUCAGUGAAUCUGUCUGCAGGCUGUCUCAGGGAAUAGUUCAGCGAGGCUUUUCCCUACGAGGCUUAUAAACGUGAGAUUGAAAAUGAGAUACCGGAUUGAUCGAAUGAUCGGGUAAAGUAAUGAACAACCCUUAUUGUUGGGCAUAGUAGUAUGGUAGCUAUGAAUUUCACUAUGAAUGACAUGCAUGCAUAAUUCUAGAUUGAGGCAUAGUUAGAUGCUUAUACUUAUACUUGCUCAUUUCUCGUUAAUGCUUUCAAUUACAUAUAUCUAUCUACCUGCAUAUCUAUCUGUGCCUGCUUAGACCUAGUGGGAAGAUCGGCAGAGUCGGCGGCCGAACCCACUGGGAACUAUUCGUAGUUCUCAUCCCACUUUGUUGCAGGUCCGAGUUCGAGUAGCCCUGGUGAGGAUCGCGGCAAGGGCGUAGCGCCCUAGGGGUAUUAGUAGAGGUUUACUUUCCUUUAUGCAUUAGUUACACCCUAUACUUAUGUUGACAGUAGAUGUUGUAUAGGGUGAGAUUUUGAGAGUGAUUGUACAUAUCUGUUUUGGAAGACUGUAAAAGAUGAAUUAAAUGUAUUAAGUUGAAUGAAUUUAAUAGUUAAGUAUAUCUCUCUUUUAUCACUUGUAUGCUUUACUCGUGUUGCUUGCUCUCGGUUGGUAUGCACUGUUUGUGCUUCAUUACUGUUAUUUGAUCAUGUAUGUAAUCAAGUGUAUUUUCUGGGAGCUUGUGUACAUGAUCUCGUCGUUUGAGCCUUGGGCGGACAGGGGAGUUACUGUUCGUUCGGCGGUCCAUUCGCCGCGCCCGAACCGGACCAAAUUGGUAGCGGGCUUGGGGCGGUGGCGUGACACCGAUACUGUAGGAAGAGUUCAAGAGGGCGAUGUUCGCCAACUACUUCCCCGAUACUCAGAAGCGGAAGCUGCAAGAGAAGUUCCGCAAGUUACGAUAGGUGGACCGCACUGUGGCGAACUAUGAGUAAGAGUUUUCCCACAUAAUUGACUGUGUCCCUGAUAUGGUGAAGGAUGACAGGGAUAGAGCCGACUAGUUCUUAAGGGGACUUCGGCCGGGAAUCCACAAGGCCGUACAGAUAUUCAAGCUCGCGACCUUUGCGGAGGUAUUCGAUCGGGCGCUGUGGGCAGAGCACGGAGAUGCCCAUGUGCGCGAGGAGCGUGAGCUUUUGGCCGAGUCCAAGGAUAAAGGCAAAAAACGACAAGGUGGUGGUUCGGGGGGACAGACGAGUUCCAAGAAGCCCCCGAAGUAUCCGCGGACUCAGUACAUGGGCCGUGGAGUGCGGCGGUGUGUCAUUUGCGGUGGAGACCACCAACCUUCGUGUUGCGAUCAGCGCCAAGGCAAGUGCUUCAAAUGCGGGCAACCAGGGCACUUCAUACGUGAUUGCUCGGGAGGUGGAGCCUCGCCUGCCCUAUCUAUUGCAUCGGGGCCGGUGAUUCCAGCUCAUUAUGGAGGAGCUCCACCGACGGCUGCGUCGGCGGGACGCGUGAUGGCGCCGCGUCAGUUAGAGGCGACGCGAUCGACACCGAGCGGGCGGGUGUUCGCCGCUCAAGCUCAAGUGGAGGAACCUGCCGAGCCAGAAGAGCGCCAUGUGGUGGCAGGUAUGGUUUUAAUUAGCGGAGUCCGCUCCCGAGCUAUGUUUGAUACUGGUGCUACCCAUUCAUUCAUAAGUAGGCCGUUUGCACAAAUGCAUGGUAUCGAGUUUCAAUUUAGUAAGAGCACUUGACGUGUGUUUGGGCCUGGGCGGGACUUUCUGAUCCGCAAGAAGUGUUUGACGUGCCCAGUACAAAUAGGCGAUUGGAUAAUGCUGAUUUGCAUGUUGGUGCUCCAGAAGCUGAAAGAGUACAAUGUCAUAUUGGGCAUGGAUUGGCUCUCGAAGUACCAUGUAACGAUUGACUGUAAGAGCAAGGUGCUUACCUUUCAUGAGCCCGGACAAGAGGAGUUCACGUAUCGGGCUUGUCGAAGCUCGUGCUUCGUCGUGACGGUGUCAGCGACGAGAGCGAGGAAGUUGGUUAAUAGCGGUUGCACAGCCUAUUUAGCGACCGUUGUGGAGGUGGACCGAGUGGCUCCGACCUUAGAGGAGUUGUCGGUAGUACGGGAGUUCCCAGAUAUAUUUCCCGCGGAGUUGCCGGGGAUACAGCCGGAUCGGAAGAUCGAGUUUGUUAUAGACUUGAUUCCCGAUACCGCGCCGAUCUCGAAGGCCCCGUAUAGAAUGGCGCCGGCGGAACUAAGGGAGUUGAGGAAUCAAUUGCAUGACCUCCUCGACAAGCAAUUUAUCCGGCCGAGCGUAUCACCGUGAGGAGCCCCCGUGUUGUUUGUGCGGAAGAAGGACGGAUCGCUGCGACUCUGUGUGGAUUAUUGUGAAUUAAACAGAGUCACGAUCAAGAAUAAGUAUCCAGUUUCCCGAAUCGACAACUUAUUUGAUCAGUUGCAGGGGUCGUGCGUGUAUUCAAAGAUAGACUUGUAAUCCGGUUAUCACCAGUUGAAGAUCAAGUCGGAAGACAUUAAGAAAACCACAUUCCGUACGCGGUAUGGACACUAUGAAUUCACGGUCAUGCCUUUUGGGCUUACGAAUGCCCCUGCGGCGUUCAUGGAUCUGAUGAACCGUGUCUUCAAGGAGUUUUUGGACCGAUUUGUCGUGGUCUUCAUAGACGGCAUAUUGGUCUAUUCUCGCAAUGACGAGGAGCAUGCCGAGCAUUUGAGAUUAGUGCUUCAAGUCCUUUGGGAGAAGAAGCUAUAUGCUAAGCUAAAGAAGUGUGACUUUUGGCUUCGAGAAGUCGCAUUUCUAGGACAUGUGAUUUCCGAGGGUGGAGUCUCUGUAGACCCGAGGCAAUCAAGGAUUGGCCACGCCUAACCAAUGUCACGGAGGUUCGAAGCUUCGUGGGCUUGGCGGGCUAUUAUAGACGGUUUGUGGAGUGCUUUUCGAAGAUAGUAAUUCCACUUACCCGUCUGACUAGAAAGGGCACCAAGUUCGUUUGGAGUUACGAGUGUGACCGGAGUUUCAAAGAGUUGAAGGAGAGAUUAAUUUCGACUCCGGUACUCGCCCUACCGGUGCAAGGUAAAGAUUAUGUGGUCUAUAGCGACGCAUCCUAUCUGGGUUUGGAGUGUGUCUUGAUAUAGGGCGGGAAGGUAAUCACGUAUGCGUCCCGUCAGCUAAAGAGCUAUGAAAAGAACUACCCCAUUUAUGACUUAGAGCUGGCGGCGGUGAUCUUUGCUUUAAAGCUAUGGAGGCACUAUUUAUAUGGUGCACAUUGCGAGAUCUACACCGACCAUAAAAACUUAAAAUAUUUGUUUACCCAGAAGGAGCUGAAUAUGCGGCAUCGGCGGUGGUUGGAACUGCUAAAGGAUUAUGAUGUUGACAUCUUUUACCACCCCGGCAAGGCGAACGUAGUCGCUGAUGCGCUUAGUAGAAAGUCGACAGAGAACCUCGCAGUGUGGGUUACAAAUCAAACGCCCGGAAAGAAAUAGGGCGAAUGGAUCUCGAGGUUGUAGCUCCGGAGGUUCCGACUAAGUUGUCAAUGCUUGUUGUCCAACUGACCUUAUUGGAGAGGAUCAAGAGUUUGCAACCUGCGGACCCGAGUCUCCAAAAGGUGCGGUGCAACGUCAAGGAGGGACGUGGCGGAGAUUUCAGUAUAGACGCCGGUGGUGCACUUCCGUUUCGAAACAGGUGGUGUGUACCUGAGAACGAGGAGCUUCGCAAGCUAAUUCUGCAAGAAGCACAUUAGUCUCCUUAUAGUCUUCACCCGGGUGGCACCAAGAUGUACCAUAACCUAAAGAUGUAGUAUUAGUUGCCGGGAAUGAAGGCUGAUAUUGGGCGCUUUGUGGCGAAGUGCUUAAUAUGCCAGCAAGUGAAAGCGGAACACUGAUUUCCAGCGGAAAAGCUUUAAAGUUUAUAUAUCCCCGUUUGAAAAUGGGAAGAUGUGUCGAUGGACUUCGUGGUCGGUUUGCCUCGCUCAACGGGGGGCCACGAUGCAAUUUAGGUGGUUGUGGAUUAAUUGACGAAGUCGGCACAUUUCCUACCGAUUCACACCACUUGGGCAGGUGACAAGCUGGCGCAGGUAUACCUUGAUGAGAUUGUGAGAUUGCACGGGGUACCGAAGUCAAUUGUGUCGGUUCGAGACCCCGGUUCACUUCGCAUUUCUGGAAGAGCCUGCAAGAAGCACUUGGCACACGGCUGGAUUUUAGUACCGCAUUUCAUCCUCAGACAGAUGGGCAAAUCGAGAGGACUAUUAGACUCUGGAGGAUAUGUUGCAGGCGUGUGUCAUUGAUUACAAGGAAAGUUGGUGUAAGCACCUACCGAUGGCCGAGUUCGCCUACAACAACAAUUAUCAUGCUAGCGUGGGGAUGACACCAUCUGAGGCUCUUUAUGGGCUGAAGUGCCGAUCUCCCAUUCACUGGAGCGAUGUGGGCGAACGAGCAGAAUUCAGCCCUAACGUUUUGCAGGAGGCGGAAGAGAAGGUCUGUCUUGCUCACAAAAGAUUACUCAUGGCGCAGUCUCGACAGAAGAGCUAUUCGGAUAAGCGCCGGCGGGACUUAGAAUUUACAGUGGGCGACCAAGUCUUUUUGAAGGUGUAGCCCAUGCGAGGUGUGAAGCGGUUCGGGGUGCGGGGGAAGUUGAGUCCCUGAUACAUUGGACCCUACAAGGUAUUGGAACGGAUUGGAACGGUGGCUUACCGGCUCGCGUUGCCGCCGAAGCUUGCGGAUGUGCAUAACAUAUUCCAUGUCUCCAAUCUUCGUAAGUAUAUUCACGACCCCGAUCAUGCCUUGUUGUACGAGCCGCCGGAACUUCAGGAAGAUAUGAGUUACAAGGAGUUUUCGAUGAUGAUCUUAGCUCGAGAGGUGCGAAAACUGAGAAAUUGCGAGAUUCCUUAUGUAAAGAUUCGGUGGAGCAAUCAUGAUGAUCGCGAGGCCACCUGGGAACUCGAGGAUCUGAUGAGAAAGCAUCAUCCUCACUUGUUUGAGGGAUAAGGUAUGAGUUUGAGUUUGAGUUGGAAAUUGGAUUAGUUUUGAGAACGAAACUCCUUUUUAGGAGGGGAGGAUGUAAGGAAGUGAAUUCUCGAAAUCCGAGAGUUGGACUUCGUCCAGAAUCGACUAAUUGUCGAGUGGGUAGGCUUCGGAAAAGCCGAAGGUGUCCAAAACACAAAAAGUGCAUUGGAGUUGGAUCCGCGAGAGUAAACAGUGCAAAAUCUACACUUGGCAGAUUCUACUCUCGGGGACCGGUCCCUAGAGGAAGAGACCGGUCCCUGUAAGCUGAAAGUAUGGCAGAAGACUCUGUGCGCGAUAUUUGCUCUCAGGGUCCGGUCCCUCGGGCGAGGACCGGUCCCUGAAGGUCCGGUCUCUCAGUCGAUGACCGAUCCCCGUACGCGCAACCUGCGAAAAGCAGGAAAAUUUGGCUAAAUCUGAGAGUCAGCUCUCGGGGACCGGUCCCUGGCGGGACAGACCAGUCCCCGUACGCGUAAUGGCUGGCAGACAGCCUCCGCUCGCAAAAGCUGCUCUCGGGGACCAGUCCCUCUAGUGACAGGCCGGUCCCCGAGUGCGAAAACUGCCCAGGUAGAGCAGUUUGAGAGAGGCAAAGUGGAGGGGUUUGAGUGCAAUUGUUACAUUAGUUGAGGGGUAUAGGAGGGAUUACACUCUCUCUCCCCCUCAUUUCCCCACCCAACACACACACUCCUUUCUCUCUCUAAGCUCUCUCUUUUCUCUUGAAGCAAAGAAGAAGAAGAAGAAGGAGAGGAAGAAAGGAAAGGAGAAGAAGGUGAAGAAGAAGGUGAAGCAAGCAAGGAGAAGGCCUUGGUCAUCUUCCUCUUUCUCCUCACACCAUUGGAGCUAGCUUAAAGGUAAGCUUUUGAGCUCAAUAAUGGUAGAAACCUAAGGUUUGGAUUUAAAGCUCUAGAAAUGGUUUGAUUAGUAUUCUAGCAUGCUUAAUAGAUACUCAAAGCUAGAAUCUAGGGAUUUAUUGGAGCUUUUGCAUAGAUGCAACCUAGGGCACCCAAAAUAGGGUUUUGCUGAAUAGAUGGGUUUGAUCUUAUUUGAUGACAACUAAACCUAAUUGCUAGGUGUCUAAACGCAUUGGCGAAGACGGAUUGAGCAUUCGUCAAGUCGUUAUAAAGAUGUCAGCAAAACAAGGCCGAGCAAGCUUCGUUUCCUUCUUGGAGGCGGAGAUUUCGUUGUAACGAGUGCCGAGUAGCAUUUUUAGGACCUCCACAUCGUCGAACGGUGGGUGGUGUCAUCUCGAAGCAACCGGGUUCCUCUCUAUGUCUUAGUACUUCAUGAUUUGCAUCUCUUGCAUGUUGCAUUAUAGGAUUGCAUGUUAUUCCUUUCCUUAUGCUUGCUAAUGAUAUCGAUGUAUGAGUUGAAUGCAUGAUGAUGGUUAGAUGAGGAUUGGGUUUUGACAUUUAAUUCUAUAGUGCCGAGAAAAGAGAUGAACUCGAUGAUUGUUAAAGACAUAAUGAGUGGCAUUGACUGUUAAAUAAAUAAGAACGAGUGGCAUAUAAUAUAGUGUACGGUGACACUAGUGACAUGCGAACUUAGGGAUAGGUGGAUUCCCUAGUGACGACUCGUUGAACAAAGGUCUAUAAGAUAUGGAUCCUGAGGAUCUAAAAGGUAAGUAACACCUAGAGGGGGGUGAAUAGGUGUAAAUACGGCAAACUCGAAAAUCUCGAUGCAAAUAAAAUAAAGUAGCGGAAAAUAAAACAGCACACCGAGAAUUUAACGUGGGAAAACUCCAAUUCGGAGUGAAAAACCCACGGGACCGAUCACGCGAAGAAAAUCCACUAAGAAAACUUGAGUACAAGUGAUUUUGACAAAAAUACACGACUCAAUUUACCGAUUUCUUGUUAAUGGUGAUCUUCGCCGGUCCUCGAUCGAUAGGAAUCCACCAAUCGACCUUGCUGUAACUCCUCGCAGCGUCAACGCCUCAACUCCUUGAAGUGUCCACCGAAUCCUCGGCUUCACGCGAGAUCCACGCGUCGAACCUCCUUCCGGAGCUUGUAGAAUCGAAGAUUUGUGAUGAUUUAACCUUUGAAUACCAUAAGCUAUGAGGGUUCACCUUUAAUCAAAAAUCUACUUGAUUCUCGUAUGAGUUCUCGAGUAAAAACGAAGAAUCAAGCCGAUUGUUGAUUGUUAGAAACUCGUUAUGUGAAUCGACGCAUUGAAACGAAAAAACAAGUUUCUAGGGUUUAGAAUCAGUAAAUAUUCAAAGCCUUAAACUUUUAGAUGACCCACAUAGCUUAUUUAUAUGUUUAGAAGACUUAGAAGUAGACUAGGAUUGCAAAAAGUCCUUUUUAAAAACCUGUGUCGUCCUCAGAGACCGGUCUUCUCGAGGAGACCGGUCUGUGAGAGACCGGUCUCUCAAGUGAGGAACCGGUCCCUCACUGCGUGACCAAAAUCACAACGUUCGGGAACCGGUCUCUCAAGCUUGAGACCGGUCCCUCGCUGUGCGACAGAAAUACCAAGGUUCGGGAACCGGUCUCUCAUCUCAGGGGACCGGUUGCAUCAAUGUUCAUGCAGUGAGAACCUUAGGGGAACCGGUCUCUUGACCUCAGGGACCGGUCCCUGAACACAGAAAAGUUCAGUAAAGUAUUUUUAAAGCAAUCUAAGCCUUCUGAACUUUUUCUAAACAAAUAUCUUCAUCACAAAUGAUCUUUUCUUCAUACCUUAGGUGCCGAACUUUACGAGUGAGUCUUUUUCCUUCAAUUUAGAUCUUUUCUUCAAUCUUCCGCAAUCAACUCUUCAAGACUCCAUUCAGCAUUACGAAAUCCGCCAACCUAUAAAAUCCUUAACAAGGUCAUAGUGUAGUCAAGUACUCACACAUGGACAUUGGGAUAGGUGGAUUCCCAAGUGACUUGUAACCCUAGAGUCGAUGGGGUAUCCUCGAGUUGAGAGGAUUGAUCAUACUCACAGUCUGUUCAUACUUGUGGUGGUCGCACCACCUAGGUCUUCGUGCACUCCGGAGUUUAGUGCGAGAGGGGUAGAGUUGAUGCCCUACAGGCGGCCUCGGGUUUGAGAGCAAGGUGUGUCUCCUUACCAUACGAGGUUUGAGGUGAGUCGUAGGCGAACCCAAGUGGAUCGCCAAGGAUUGAUUGAACAUAUUGUUAUUUGAACAUUUGCUUGUUGGACAUGGAUAGUGGACAUAGUAGCAUGUUAGUAAACCCUUUACUAUAUGACGCAGGCAUAUAUUACUGAUGAUUGGGCAUAAUAGCAUAGUUUUCCUACUAUUGCAUUUACAGUUUUUCAUAACUAUCUAUCUAUCUACUUUUGUCCACUCGGACCUAGUGAAAAAAUCGGCGGAGUCGGCGGCCGAACCCACUGGAAACUAUGGACAAUAGUUCUCACCCCACUUUGUUGCAGGGCCUAGUACGAGCACGCCGGGCGAGGACCGCGGCAAGGGCAUAGCGCCCGAGCAGUAGUACAUAGUAGCUUCCUAUUUUGCAUUAGCACACUUAUGGAUAUGAGAGACUUUUGUAGGUGAGGAUUUGGAGAGCUAU